CACGUAGGGUGCGAGCGUUGUCCGGAAUUAUUGGGCGUAAAGAGCUCGUAGGCGGUGUGUCGCGUCUGCUGUGAAAAUCCGGGGCUCAACCCCGGACUUGCAGUGGGUACGGGCAGACUAGAGUGUGGUAGGGGGAGACUGGAAUUCCUGGUGUAGCGGUGGAAUGCGCAGAUAUCAGGAGGAACACCGAUGGCGAAGGCAGGUCUCUGGGCCACUACUGACGCUGAGAAGCGAAAGCAUGGGGAGCGAACAGG
rnacentral:rRNA from 1 species